UACAGAGGGCCCAAGCGUUGUUCGGAUUCACUGGGCGUAAAGGGUGCGUAGGUGGUCGGGUAAGUCUGAUGUGAAAUCUCCGAGCCUAACUCGGAAACUGCAUCGGAUACUAUUCGGCUUGAGGGUUGGAGGGGGGACUGGAAUACUUGGUGUAGCAGUGAAAUGCGUAGAUAUCAAGUGGAACACCAGUGGCGAAGGCGAGUCCCUGGACAACUCCUGACACUGAGGCACGAAAGCGUGGGGAGCAAACAGG
rnacentral:rRNA from 1 species